rnacentral:rRNA from 1 species
CCUACGGGUGACAGCAGUCGAGAAUCAUUCACAAUGGGGGAAACCCUGAUGGUGCGACGCCGCGUGGGGGAAUGAAGGUCUUCGGAUUGUAAACCCCUGUCAUGUGGGAGCAAAUUAAAAAGAUAGUACCACAAGAGGAAGAGACGGCUAACUCUGUGCCAGCAGCCGCGGUAAUACAGAGGUCUCAAGCGUUGUUCGGAAUCACUGGGCGUAAGGCGUGCGUAGGCUGUUUCGUAAGUCGUGUGUGAAAGGCGCGGGCUCAACCCGCGGACGGCACAUGAUACUGCGAGACUAGAGUAAUGGAGGGGGAACCGGAAUUCUCGGUGUAGCAGUGAAAUGCGUAGAUAUCGAGAGGAACACUCGUGGCGAAGGCGAGUUCCUGGACAUUAACUGACGCUGAGGCACGAAGGCCAGGGGAGCGAAAGGGAUUAGAUACCCCUGUAGUC